UACGUAGGUGGCAAGCGUUGUCCGGAAUUAUUGGGCGUAAAGAGCUCGUAGGCGGUUUGUCGCGUCUGCUGUGAAAACUCGGGGCUUAACCCCGAGCCUGCAGUGGAUACGGGCAGACUAGAGGUAGGUAGGGGAGAAUGGAAUUCCCGGUGUAGCGGUGAAAUGCGCAGAGUAUCGGGAGGAACACCGGUGGCGAAGGCGGUUCGCUGGGCCGUUACCUGACGCUGAGGAGCGAAAGCGUGGGGAGCGAACAGGAUUAGAAACCCC
rnacentral:rRNA from 1 species